rnacentral:tRNA from 1 species
GGGAAGGUGGCUCAGUGGUAGAGCACUUGCUUUGCAUGCAUGAAGCCCUGGGUUCGAUUCCUCAGCACCCCA